UACCCUUUCAUCGACACUGACAUUGCCCGACGACUCCAAAUUUGUUAUUCAUAUAAGCCAUCUCUUAGGCUAUGAAUGGUGACAUACACCGUACCCAAAACCGCACCGCAACAGUGUCAAAAUCUCUACAUAUACAUAUGUAUUUAUAUAUUUUUGUUACUAUUUGAACCGCACCGCACUUCUUCCGUACCGCAAAACGCAGUCGCCAUUCGGACCUUUAAUUAAAAAAUAAUAAU
rnacentral:sRNA from 1 species